rnacentral:rRNA from 1 species
AGCGUAGGUGGAUAUUUAAGUGGGAUGUGAAAUACUCGGGCUCAACCUGAGUGCUGCAUUCCAAACUGGUUAUCUAGAGUGCAGGAGAGGAAAGUAGAAUUCCUAGUGUAGCGGUGAAAUGCGUAGAGAUUAGGAAGAAUACCAUGGCGAAGGCGACUUCUGGACUGUAACUGACACUGAGGCUCGAAAGCGUGGGGAGCAAACA